rnacentral:lncRNA from 1 species
CCGCGUUACAGAGCUACAGCGGUCUCCGGGUGGCGAAGUGCGGAGACGGGGUUUUGGAGACGGUGGAUGGAGGAGGGGGAGGGAAAGCUGCCAACUUUGGAUACCAACCCCGUACACCCACCGAAGGGGAUGUCCCACUUUUUCCAGCGCUGGGAGCAAAAAGAUAACAGUGAGCGAGGUUGAAAACACCUGACAGUGAAAAGAGCAAUUUGAAGAAAAACAAAAUUUAUCUUCAAUGUGAAAAGCAAUUUAUAAAAAUCCGAAUACUUGCCAGGAGCAACUUGACAAAAAAGACAAAGGUGGUAGAAGAAAUGUAACCAGCCCACAAUUCCAAUGUUGAUAACAGAUGAGCUCCCUUUCAAGGUGACUGACAUUUACACAAGUACACAGAGCAAGAAGAAGGUCUGAGUGAACUGCCAAGCAUUUUAACUUCUCCUGAGACCAAGUACAUCAACAGUUCUCUUGGAAAAGAACAACUGAUUUGGGAGUCUAGCAGACUGCCAGCUGCAAGACAUUCAUCCAGCAUCAGGAACACAAUGGGCCUUCAUUUGCCUGCCUUUCUGAGGGCACCAAUCAAAAGUAACAGCUGCCACCUUUUUCUAUGAGACUUGAUUAUAAUUUUCUAUGGCCAAGGGUUUGCUGUGACACUUCCACAUCAUUCUUCAGUAUGUAGUCCAGAGAUUAGCUACAGAUUCAAGAAACACAGACUGUAAACUAUUAUAUACAGACAUAUCUCAAAAUAAGCAUACCCAUUAGUGCCAGCUGCCCUGAAAGACUGAAUGACCCCAGCUAUUUUCCAAAUGUUUUUUCAGAAAGCCAUGAACACACCUUUCUGGGAUCCUAUCUAUUUCAAAGACAGGCAAAGCUCUGUGGUUCAGUUCCACCACCCAGUACCAAGCCCACAGUAUGCAGACCAUACGCCUUACACAUGGCCUUUUCUCUUUAUGUAAUUGCUGUACCAUAUUCAGCAGAUCUAGACUGACUCAAAGCAUGUUCCCUCAAGAAGCUCCACAGAAAAAAAGGUUUCUGUGAUCAAAAAUCAUUUGGGAAAUGCUGCAAACCCUAUCUGCCUCUUAGAGCUUAACCAUGCAUGUCGGGGCAUAAUAUAAACCUUUUCCAGUCUGGGCCACAGAGUGAGACCCCACCUCUAAAAUAAUAAAUCAAUAAACUCUUGAGAAGUACACAGAAAAGAAACUUCUGUAACUUUUUAGGUCUUAAUUACAAGCAAUUGUAGCUUAAUCUAAACUUGCUCUUCACUUUAUUUCUAUGCUCUUGAAAACUAGUGACAUAAGCCUUAUGAAUUUUUUGUUUGUUUGUUUCUUCUUUUUUUAAGAGAGAGACAGGGUCUCAUUCUGUUGCUCAGGUUGGAGUGCAGAGGCACAAUCAUAGCUCACCGUAACCUUGAAUUCCUAGUCUCAAGUAAUCCUCCCAUCUCAGCCUCCCUAAUAACUAGGACUACAGGCACAUACCACCACAUCUGGCUAGUGUGUGUGUGUGUGUGUGUGUGUGUGUGUGUGUAAAGACAGGGGUCUCAUUAUGUUCCCCAGGCUGGUCUUGAACUCCUGGGCUUAAGCGAUCCUCCCACCGCAGCCUCCCAAAACUUUGGGAUUACAGGCAUGAGCCACUACACCUGGCUGGAUUAUUCUUUCUUUAAAAAAAUUUUUUUGGCCGGGCGCCGUGACUGUAAUCCCGGCACUUUGAGGGGCCGAGGCGGGCGAAUCACGAGGUCAGGAGAUAGAGACCAUCCUGGCUAACACGGUGAAACCCCGUCUCUACUAAAAAAAAAUAC